AUUCUUUUGUGGUUCAUAACCUGGAUUAUUGGGUAUUCACAUGUAAGUGUGAGAUGUGCCACCCUAGAACUUAUUACAAUGUGGUCACAUUACCCACCUGACA